rnacentral:lncRNA from 1 species
CCCAUUACCACUCAAGUCUGCCCCCGCCCCCCUCCCCACACACUGUUUGGAGGCAGCUCCACGUGGCAUGAAGUGUGGGCUGCAUGCAGUGGUGUGAUGUGAGGGCUGCUGGAAACCCCCAGCCCUGAAUCCCUUCCCUGGAGUCUUGUUGCUAAGAGCUAAAAUCUGAAGCCCGGUUCUUGAUGCCAGUGCCCUUUGAACACCGCCCUUCCUUACGGAGACAGUGCACCCCAUAAUUCUUGACAGUUCAACUUCUCUAAUUUGUAUCCAGAGUUUCCCAGCUCCCAGCCUGGAAGACUAACAAUACGAGAACGUUUGGCUCUCAGAGCUGCCCUGCCUCCCUCUUCAAAAUUGCAGUGCAUCUCAGCUGAGAACGGCUCCCAGCUGCAGAUUCUCCCGUUUUCUGAUGAGAGGAGAGACCUCAGUCAUACUCACCAAGGAAGGACAAGCUCAGCUGGAUCUUGCAUUUAUAGGAGGCCUCAGACACCAUCGUUGGGUUUCUUUUUGUGUGCACGAGAGUGUGUGUUUCUUCUUCAGAUGUUUUGGGGUUACCAGAAAAACCAUUCUCUUUCCCCCUUAAUUUUUAAAACUGUGUGUAAUUUCAGGGAAAUUUGAUCCAUGUGUUUCAGAUUCAUUUGCACUUAAUCAUGAAAAUCUCUCUGGAAAGAGCUAUUUUCUCUUCCAGAAGACUUUGGUGCCCUUUUGAAUAAGCCCAGUGAGUGCCCUUCCACCCCAGCCUGCCCUCUCCAACUGCAGAAGGUUGUGUUUGGCCAAAGGAAAACCAACCUGACCACCAAGGGCAUGGGACUGGUUUGAAAUGUCAAACUUGUGAAUUUGGACCGUAUUCUGACAGUGGGGAAAUGACUUCCCCUGGCCCCAGUGUUUACAGAGUCAGAGAAUGAAGCCUUCCAAAAAAAAAAAAAAAUGUGAAGAAGUGCCGAUCAACUCGAGAGCAUUGCCAUUCCUGCCAACCAACCACGCAGGCCCCUUGGAAAUGCCUCAUGGCCAUCGGCAGGUGAGAGUUAG